rnacentral:lncRNA from 14 species
UGGAAUGGCAGAGGAUGCAGAAAGUCAUUUUAUCACAUGCUUGCUCCAAGACAGGAGCCACAUAUGUGAAGAUCUCUGCCUGCCCUGCUCUCAGGAACUCAUCCCAGUCAUCCUGAUGGACCAGUUUUCAGAGGUCACACCCAGCCAGCCCUGUGGUCCUGUCAAACCCCAUAUUCCUCUGUGAGGAACAGACAUCAGACACUGUUUAUCCGCAUCAGCUUCCUCAAGGCAGCUCCUGUAUAGCACCAUGCAGCGGUCAUGGAAACCACCCUUUGGGACCCUGCUCUCCCCAGGUACCAGGUACAGCACCCAAAUGCAUCUCUGCAGCUGGAUUUGGUGACUAUUUCCAGGUUCUGCCAGAGGAAUCACAACCAUUGGAGAAGUCACAACUCCCAUUCUGUUUCACUGGUGCUCUUUCAUCUUUGCACAAGUCAAUGCUUUCUGAGGGUGCAAUAAAAUGCAGCUCGCUUCUCCCACAGAAGCAAAUUACUGCUUAAUUUUGUUAUUGCAAUAACACCUCAGAGAGACGGUGAGAAGCAGGUCUGGGCUUUGAGCAUCAUGGCAUGGAAAAGGUAUUUGCUUUCAUGUACAUCCCGGUGCAAGACCAGCAGUGCAGAGAGCACCUGAGGGGUCAG